AAAUGCCAAAUACAUUUACAAAAAAUAUAGUUUACAAAGAUGUUCUGCAAAAUUUAACAACAGGUUGUAGCUUGCAUACAUCUGCAAUUAAAAACUUGCAUAUUACACAUUUUGAUAUAUAGACACUUUUUUCCUAACAAUAUGUAUAUUUUGCUUGCAGAUUUACAAGACAAUCAGCAUCGUGCCAAUUCAUAGCAAGAGUCACUCACCAAGACAUUGCAGGGCACGAGUGUACAAUUCGGACUCGGGAUAUGCAGGUUGAUUUGGACCCUAGCAACAAUGAACGCUUCCUAGAUGUGACUCUUACUAGGGAUAACAACAUUAUCGCUGGCAAGAUAUAUCAGGGAGGGAGACACCAUUAGUUUGCUGGAAUCAUUAACCCUGGUUCUGAGGGAUUUCAGAAGCUAUUUUUCCAUUAAGAGGAAAUUGCCAUAUCAGUGCACUCAAAGUUGUCAUUGGCCCUGCUACUGUUGGAGGAAUUCAAGCUGAAGCUUUUAAGAUUGGUGACAUUGCUGGAACAAUUGAUAACAUUAUUCACUGCAAGCUAUACAGGCCUAGAUCUAUUGGUUUUGUCUCCAAAUCUGCUUUUAAACCACCAAAAAAACAUAAGGGUCUCUGCAUGGAAAAUGUGCACAAGUUAAGGCAGUUCAGAACCUAAGAAAUAAGUAGCACUGCUGACGCACUGUUGGAGAGAUUGUGAACCUCUGUUAAAUCACAGUCCAUUGAAGGGCUUAGCCCGUUCGACUUUGUGUUUUAGAUGAAUCCGUUUCGGAUUGGGAGAAAAUUUAAACCCAAAAAAAGUUGGGUUUCCUGAUGAGUUGUCCGGCAGAUUUCAGGUCGGCAACAAACAGGUUGAUCACAUCUUGAGUUUUCUGACUGAUUUAUUCAAUCCUAUCAGUUCUGAUUCUGUCCCUCCAUAACAUUUCCAGCACCAUCUGCCUUGCUCUCAUCACAGCUUGGCUUUCAGUUCCUCAGGAGGAAUGGUGGAAUGGUGGAUGUGAGAGUUUCUUUUACAGCAAUUCAAAGGGAAGAGCUUGACAGACAAUGGACUCUUCCCCUAUUCCUCCACAUUCACUUUUACCAAUUUCCAAGAACACAUUAAAUUCCCUCAAAAUAUAAGCCGAGGUAUGGAAAAGCUUCGAAUUCCUUGGUUUCCUCCAAUUAGUAUGCAGAACUCUAAAAAAAGAAAAAAGUGAGGGUUGAAUGACUACCCUCAUAUAUACACAUACAGAUAUGUAAAAAAUUAGAAUGGUGAAGUGAGGGUUUAAUGACCUAUUACUCAUUUGGUUCUAUUUAAAUAAA